rnacentral:rRNA from 1 species
UACGUAGGGUGCGAGCGUUGUCCGGAAUUAUUGGGCGUAAAGAGCUCGUAGGCGGUUUGUCGCGUCUGCUGUGAAAACGCGAGGCUCAACCUCGCGCCUGCAGUGGGUACGGGCAGACUAGAGUGCGGUAGGGGAGAUUGGAAUUCCUGGUGUAGCGGUGGAAUGCGCAGAUAUCAGGAGGAACACCGAUGGCGAAGGCAGAUCUCUGGGCCGUAACUGACGCUGAGGAGCGAAAGCGUGGGGAGCGAACAGG